rnacentral:lncRNA from 1 species
AAGAAAGCAGAGUCCUCUGGCAAUCCCAAUUAUAAGUUUCAACUUGGUUGCCCAAUGACUCUUAGUGGCUAUCUUCUCGGUCAAAGUUCCAUUGGGGAAGUAAUCACACAAAAGGUAGGCUAGAUGCUUGUUAUGGCAAACCCCUAGCAAUCUAGUCAGAUUUUUGUGUCUCACGUUUCCAAUUCGCACUAUGAACUCCAUGCUGACAUUCAUUGUCUUUGCCUCCAGCUCAACCCUUUUCACUGAAACUGUUAUUCCUGUGGGAAGAUUUGCUUGCCAAACAGUGGCUGACAAAGGAGGCACUGGCUUGAUUGAUUCCGUAGCUCCAUAGCUCUUCAGAACAUCGCU